rnacentral:tRNA from 3 species
GGGCGCUUAGCUCAGUUGGUAGAGCACUUGUUUGACGUACAAGUGGUCAGAGGUUCGAAUCCUCUAGCGCCCA